AUGCAUCUAUCUGACAUACUGGAGCAGUUACUAUCUGCUGCUAAUGUUUGUACUACAGAUGCAAGAAAAAAGUGUCCCUGCACUUUCUGUCUCUCUGAGUGUGGCAGCCAAGAAGGAAUACAGGAAUUAUCAAA